GGCGCUGGCGGCGGCUCAGGGCCCGCGGCGGCGGCGGCCCGGCCUCGUGUCCGUGUCUAACCUCUGGUAUUGCGUGUUCUGGGCAGGGAAGCGAGGGCGUCGCAGCAGUGCGGGAUCGCUAGAGAGCAAUGUGGAAUUUCAGCCUUUCGAGCCACUGCAGCCGCCAGUGCUGUGCUCCUAAGCCGUGGGACCCGAGGACUGCCCCACGGCCCCUGCCCCUGCGGAGAGCCCUUUCAGAAAGGGCGAAGCUAGUGCGGGACUCUGCGGGCCGCGGGCUCCGCGCUCCGUGGAUGGCGUGGCGCGCCGUGGCAGACGGCAGGACGACCGAGGGGAGCCCACCUGGCCGGCCAGCCGGGGCAGGGGUCCUGCCCGUUUCCCUCCCCACCCACCCCUUUGUCAUAUCAUCAAGGCCACCAUACCAGCAAAUCUGCAAAGCAAGCACUUUGUUAAUCUCCACAGAAAGCAAAUACAGCAAUCUAGAGUUUAGCCUUUUUUUUUUUUUGGAAGAAGUGUGACUUUAACCUGCCCACCUUUAUCUUCCCAUCGGUGUCGUGUUUCUCUCCCGGGCAUCUGCCCGGAAGGAGAGAAGGAAGGAGCACGGGUGUGUCUGAUUUGGUCCAGGCCAGGCUGGCGGGAGGCUCCCCGCUCCCGCUGGCUCCUAAAUUCUUUGGUUUUCCUGCAGAGUCAGGCUCCCCGAGGCAUUCUCUGUCUUGCAGUUUCAAGGAUGUUGUUCUGACCAGGAAAAGUCGAAUUGUACCGCAUGCCACCCGGCGUCAGUCGUGCGAGGCCACACUCUAUGUGUUGUGUAUUUGCGGACUGUAUCAGUGUUGCUGUUGACAAAUAGUUAAGUAAAGUGAUAACGUAUGAGAUAUGUCGGCUUUUCUUCACCCUCUGUACCAAUAGUAGAGCCUAACUGUAAACUCGAGGUUGUUCCAGAAAAGAUACAGGCUGUUUGGCACCAGAUUGCCCUUUCCGAAGGGACGACCACUCAUGAAAAAGAACAGAUGGCAAAGCCAGUGAUGGCGGGGGGGCUCUGUCCAUCGCCGUCCUUCGUGCUCCCCGGGCCGUUCAGGACCCUCCCCUCCAACGCUGCCUUCUGUGUGUCUUGGAGCUUUGUUGGGGUGUCACAGGGCCGGAUCUAGCGAAAGGGGGCUUCUUGAACAAAUUGUUUCUCCCCGUGUUUCCAACUUCACACUGUGUCGGGCUCAGGUCAGUGGGGUUGCCUCACUCUUUGUGUUGUAGUUACAAGCUUAUCAUGGGAAGUGCUUCCAGAAGGUACCUUGUUCUAUUAAGGAGGCUGGAGCCAUGCUGCCCAAGUCUCGUUUGGGCAGCAAAAGCUUCUGACAAAUUGCUCUGCGCCCCCCUCCCUAGUGUUGCUUUCACGGGACUGUUCUUUCUAAACCCCAGCCUGCCACAGAGUCGCAGCUGUGGGGGCCUGUCGUCCACCCCCCAACCCGGGACAGGCGGCAGGAGGCUGAGCACUGUGGGCUGUGUGUGUCAUCCUUCGCCACUGUCAGGACACACUUGGGACGUUUUUCUCAAGUCGCACAAAUUGUUCCAAUUAAACAGCAAUUUCUGACAGGAUCAGGAGACCCGUAGCAGAAGCAGCUGAUAGCAUCACAAAAAUCUUUUCUGGGACAACAAUUAAAUCAUGUAUUUGUAUUUUUUUUAAGUUUACAAAUGAAUUGUACAACAAUGUAAAAAUAAAGUUCAUCCUAAUAUGAUGUGCA
ensembl:lncRNA